rnacentral:rRNA from 1 species
UACGUAGGGUGCGAGCGUUAAUCGGAAUUACUGGGCGUAAAGCGUGCGCAGGCGGUGAGCUGUGUCCGAUGUGAAAGCCCCGGGCUUAACCUGGGAAUGGCAUUGGAAACUGGCUCGCUGGAGUGUGGCAGAGGGGGGUGGAAUUCCACGUGUAGCAGUGAAAUGCGUAGAGAUGUGGAGGAACACCGAUGGCGAAGGCAGCCCCCUGGGUCAAGAUUGACGCUCAUGCACGAAAGCGUGGGGAGCAAACAGG